CUUUCCUUCCCCUCCCUUUCUCCAAGGUUUUUGUCCACUUAAUAUGAACUAGAGUCACCUGGGAAGAGGGACUCUCAACUUGUUCCGUCUGUUUAGACUGUCCUGUGGACAUGUCUGUGGAGAUAUUUUCUUGAUUAAUGGCUGCUGUGGGAAGGCCUGCCCACCGUGGGUUAUGUCACUGCUGGGCAUGUGGUUCUAGAUGCUAUAAGAAAGCAGGCUGAGCAAGCCAUGAGGAGCAAGUCAGUCAGCAGUGUUCCUCCACGGCCUCUGCUUUCUUUUGGCUUCCUGCCUGACUUCCCUCAGGGAUGGAAUGGGACGUACAAGUAUAAGCUGAAUAAACCCUCCCUCACCAAGUUGGCCCUGGCUGGUGUUUUUAUCACAGCAACAAAAAGCAAACUAGAAUCAAUCCUCUCCUUCCAGACUGUGGCGAUAGUGUAACCAGCAGUCUGGUGCCUCUUAUCUUUACCAUGACAAUUGAUCCUAAGCUCUUCUCAAACUGACCCAAAAGAAAUCUGCCCUUCCUUCCUUAAAUUGCUGCUUCCCGGGGAUUUGGUCAUGGUGAUUCAAAAAGUGCCAAAUGCCAGCUCACUCUUGAAUGACUGCACAACUCCACAAAACAAGAGCAACAAGCACACCGCAGACACACACACACACACACACACACACACACACACACACACCCCAUUCCAGUUGUCAGUUGGGAUUGCGGGAAGGAAAAGACGAGGCUGGGGUAUGUCUCAUGACUUUGCCAGUUUGUUCAGAGCUGGGAGAAUCCGUGUUGAAAUCCUGGCAUUACUAGCCCAGAUAUGCAGUGUCCUGCCCACCACAGCCAUGAGAACUAAAUCUAAAACUGACAAGUGCUUGCAGACCAGGCCUCAUUUCCAAGCGACCACACGUUUUCAUUCAUCAGUGAGUGGACUGACAACUCCGUGUCUAUUCAGAACCUUAAGGAAUGUGCCAAGCAGGCAGAAAUGUCAACUUCUCUAUGUGCCACAGGAUCCUUGAAGGCACCAUACUCCUUCUUUAGUGACCCCUGAACCAAGAUCAGAUGCCUGGGCUCAGGAUUAGAGGCAGAGGCUGCCAGCAUCCCUGGCUGCAGGGUGGCUAAGUUCCGAUCAAAGGAGAGGAAGGUGAUGACCAUCUGGAAUGAGUCCUUCCUGGGUUCGUCUCCCCUAAGCUGCCCCCUUCCCCACUGCUUGGAAUACAGACUGCUGGGGCGGGCAAUAGUGGUUCAUCCAGCUGAAGACCACAGGGCAGGAAGACUGUUCAACAGAGCCUGACGCCCUGACUGUGAAGUUACCUCGGCAGCACUAUUCGUUUGUACGAGAGAGACUUCACUUUCUAUUUUGUUCAAGCCACUUCCGUCAACAUAGCGUAACUAACCUCGAUCAACAGAGUGAAAGACCAUGGAAAAUCGUAUUCCCUAAGGUCAGCAGCUGGGUGGUGACAGGGAUGUUACUGAUAAUAACUGAAACGGCAGUAAUCCUUUUCCCUCUGUUGUGUGCGCAUGUAAGACACUUUGCUGCCACGGAGCAGAGACAGGCCAUUAGAUAAUAUGACAAGGAAUUGUGCCACUGGAUCAAGCUGCAGCAAUGCUCAGCCCGGUGACUUACAUCAUCAACAACGCUCACUGAGCCACAGACUGUAUCUCUAAUAAGCCUCAUAACAAUGGAUGAACAAAGAGAUGGCAAUGAACCAACGCUGAGAGGGACCAACUUCCUCUCCCAAAAACUGUCUCCUACCUCUAUCUGGUCAUAAAGCUUCUACCUAAGAGCCAUCCCUAAUUGCGUAGCUGUCGCUCUCUAAGACCUGUUCUGGCCACUCGUUCAAAUCUGAAUCUGAAACAUCCCUUAGGUUCAAUGUUUUGAAUGUUUGCUGCUCUCCAGCUAGCAGUGUUAACUUGGAGAGGGGUGGAACCUUUCUCUAUGGGAUCUGCCUGGUGGAAGCAGUUGGGUGGGGGUGGGCUUUGAAGGUUACACAAAGCCUUUAUCCUCGAUCUUUCCUGACCUGCCUCAUAGUACGAUGUGCCUCUGUACGUGCUGAUACUGCUGGACAGACUGAGGUCCUUUGAAAAAUCAUGAGCCAACAAGUGUCUUUCUUUCUUCAAGUUGUUUCUCUAAAGUGAGGAACAGAGAGUUGGUCCCGGCAAUGUGGCAACAUUCAGAUAGCUAAUCUUACCAGGUGGUUUAUAAGCCUUUGAAACUGGCUUGUGAGAGGAAUUCGCAACAGUUUAACGAUGUGGACUCUGAGGCUCUAGACACACUGUUCUGGUGAGAACCUGGAGGAUCAGAACACUGACAAUGACAUGAACAACGAAGACCCUACCCACAUGGUCUCGGGGAGGAACAAGGACUCCACUGGUCACUGGACUCUAGAGGUCACUUGAGUCUGCCAAACAAUUUAUUUACAUUCUACCCAUGACCUGAAAUUUUGAGUGAGGUGGACUUCAAAGGUAAUAGGGAAAUUGCAAAGCAACCCAGCAGUCGGCCUGGUCUGGUUCUGGGUGGUUAUGUUUAGCUACAUUUACAGUGAGGCUUGGGACAAAAUGAGGAGAAUUUUCAAGAUGUGUGUGAUGGUUUGUAUAUGCGUGGCCCAGGGAGGGGCACUGUUGGGAGUUGUGGGCCUUGUCCUGGCUGCUUGGGGGCUAGAAUUCUGCUAGCAGCCUUUAGAGGAAGAUGUAGAACUCUCAGCUCCUCCUGCACCGUGCCUGCCUGGAUGCUGCCAUGCUCUUGCCUUGAUACUGGACUGAACCUCUGAACCUGUAAACCAGCCCUAAGGAAAUGUUGUCUUUAUAAGACUUGCCUUGGUCCUGGUGUCUCUUCACAGCAGGAAAGCCCCAACUAAGACAACGUGGGAUUUGGCCCUGAAAGGAAGGUGAAGGUGCUUAAGGCUGUGGAUAAGAGAAGUGGGGUCAGGGCAGGCUACUGAUCUUAUGUCAUCACUGUCAUUAAGAAGAUGGACACCUGGCACCGGGGCAACAGAGCAGGUGAGCUGAGACUCUGUCCCCAUCCUAGGGUCUCCAGGGCAGAAAACAGAAGACUGAUCAAUUAAAAUCCUUCCCUUCAAAAGGAGACUGUAUUUUGAAGAGUCACCAGGGUGCUCUGAUGGAAAGGGGCCACCUAAGGAGAUGGUUUUCUAGGUUCUGGUUCAGCUACUCAGGUACUCAGAAGCUGAGGCAGCCAUAAUCGAAGGGGUCCCCACUGUCGGCACUUUGGACUUAUCUAUCUGGUGCUAUUUUUCAGGUGUGCAGAAUGGAAAUUAUGGGGUCACAGAGACUUGCACCAAGAUUUUUAAGGAACACCCGUGUGUGAGAGACCAAGCGAUAUGCCCCAGAUUCUAAACAUGGGGCAGAAGGCUCACUGUUUUCUCUGCUGGCUGCUGAUCCUACUUUUGUGUAAUUCUGAGCCCAGUCUACGUUACAGGGGAUCCCAGACUGUUCUGAGCACCAGUGGAGACUUUGACUUAGACUAUUGGUCAGUGUUGAGACUGUGAGGGCUUCUUGAAGUUGGAAUAAACACAUCUUUAGCUUUUAAGAUGGCCAUAAGCCUUUGGCAACCAGGAGGGAACGUUAUGGUUUGACUCUGAGUGUCUCUCACAGGCUUAGGUUUUGACUGUUCUGCAGCUGGUGGUAUUACUUGGAGAGAGUUUGGAACCUUCGUGAAGCAAGACCUAGCUGGCGGAAACAGGAUACUCAGGGUGGGUGCUUGGCAUGUACCCUAGGUUAUACCUGGUUCUUGCUCUCCCUGCUUCAGGGUCCACUGUGAUUUGAGGAGCCUCCACCACAAGCUGGCACUGCUGCGAACCCUGCUGUACCUUCCCUGCCAUGAACUCUUCUGAAACCGUGAGCCAAAAUAAGUCUUUCUUCCUGUUAAGUUGUUUCUGUCAGGCAACUUAGUCACAACAACAUAGAAAUCAUAAUUUACCAACCAUGCAUAUUGUUCCACAGCUCCACACAGCACAGGCUGGUUAUCACCUCUAGCUGUCUGUGCUAGCUGUCUGUGUCUGUCUGUCUGAUUGGAUAAGGCUAUUCUGAUUUACAGAAAAAAAGUCAAGAAACAACAAGGUACAAGAGACCACAAGCUGGUGAACAAUAGCCGCAUUACAGUCUCUGGGGGAAGCAAAGAGAGCUGGGCAUUUAAACUCCCUGCCCACAAAAUAAAAACAUGUAGGGAUUCUUAGCACGUAGCUUGCUCAUCAUGGGCUUCAGAUUCACCUGGGUAGAACAUCAAGAUUCCUGAGCCCACUCAGGUAGAUAUAAGCACAGGCUCUGAGUGUCAGAAUUACAGACAAGUUCUCAGAUCAGUGCUCAGUGAAGUGUGCAGACAAACUGCUCUAUGCUGUGAUCCGGGUCUGAGGAGGUUGUGGUGUCCAGGGCCACAGGCUGUUAACAAGGUGGGGAGGGGGAAGAGAGGGGAGAUGGAGAUGACACCAGUGGAUGAGUUGUUAUGCACAGUGAAGAAAACAGGCUCGCUCAGAACCAAGGUCCACCACACAGGCUGGAUAGCAGAGCUGGGCUCUGAAUCCAGCUCUCUCUGAUGUCAAAGUCUCUGCUUCAGGCUGUUGAGCUCCUCCUGUUCUACAAGUCCAUUUCCAAAGCUGUCACCGUGUUUCCCUGGAGUCAAAUCCUAUCUGGCUCCCUACUGUCAGAAAGCAGUAAGCAUUGGCCAUGAGAGCUCUGCAGAGCCCUCUUAAGAGAGAGUUCGUUUGCAUUUUAGUAGACAUAAAUAAAAUGAGCCCUCAAAGGAGGAAGGGAAAGGGCUUGAGAGACUUGGCUGGGUCUCCAUGACCAGAACGUAGCUUUAGCUCCUGGGUACCAUCUACUUCCCAGACACCAGUCACAGCAGCUGGCCCCACACCACUGCCAGCUGGAGCCUGUCUCUCCCAAGAAGGCCAGAUUUUCAGAGGUGGUCAUGGUCUUCCCUGGGCGGCUUCUUUGUGGCAGAUGGUAUAAAUAAUUAACAGUCAAGCCACUCCACUUCACUCUUGAGUGCCUACUGUGUGUUUUUAAAAAUAAAUCCCUGGUCCUUGUCUCUAAGGAGCUUCCGACUGGUGGAGGAGCCGCACACAGAAACUGUCACUCACGGCAAAUGGGAGAGGAAGAGUCAGUGUGGAAAAGCUGAGGCCCAGAGCAGCAGGCCUUGCUUGCUUGGUGUCUUAUGGAAACGUGGAGUGGAUAUGGAAGUCCUCAGGGCAAAGGCCCUUCCAGUAGGCAGAGGCCGGGGAAUAGUGGGAGAUAGGAGAUUUGGGAAGAAGCACUUCAGAGGAAUGAGGGAGACUCUGGUUCUCAUCAUAUGAGGUCAUCUAACCCUCUUGAUGGUUAAUGCUAUUAACUCUGAACCACUAGAACAAACAGGUGUUGAAGGCAUCAAAAAGUGCUGGUAAGGUGCUGGGGAGAUGGCUCAGGGGUUAAGAGCACUGACUGCUCUUCCAAAGGUCCCGAGUUCAAAUCCCAGCAACGACAUGGUGGCUCACAACCAUCUGUAAUGGGGUCCGAUGCCCUCCAGGGGUGGGGGCGGGGGCAGGGCAUGUGGAUGAUACUCAGGACAGGUCCACUUGGGGAAUGUCAAGAGACAUAGAAAGGCUGUAUGCAUGGCUGAGGCAAGGUCUUAACAACCAGAGUAGUUGGUAUGUGUGGGAACGUACACUCACUUGUGAGGUGACAAACCAGAGGUUCAGACAAGACAUGUGACUUUUCCAAGAUGUCAUAGUGAGUCAGCAUGGAGACAAGGACCACCCUGCCCCUUCUCUGCUGCUAGGACACGAGCUUUGCAUGAGGACAUAAAGGUGGCCUUUGUGCGCUGAGGGGUAGCUAAGUUUGCUGAGUUGAUUAGUAUAUACUCUUGGAUCACUGCAACCAAUACUCGAUAGAAACAAGCACUGAAGAACGGGACGACUUUCUUCUAGCUUGCAGUUCCCCAGAGUUCAGUCCACAGCUGUUUGGCCCCACCUGCUUGGGAAGGAUACCUGGCAGCAGCAAAAUGUGGCCAAAGCUCGUCACAUCACAGCGGCCCGGGAAGAGGGGAGUAACACAGGGAGCAUGGUCUUCCAAGGCCCACCCCCAAAGAUAGAGCCCCAUCUCUUAAAAAUGGCACAGCCUCUUAAAAUAGUGCCACAGGCUGGGGAAUCAGCAUUCAAAACAUACGCCCAUGGCAGAUGAUUCAAAUCCAAAAACAAAAAGUUAGAUUGAGAAACACCUAGAUUAAUACUUCACAUCUCCAUCUGUCUGUCUGUCUGUCCGUGUCUGUCCGUGUGUGUGUGUGUGUGUGUGUGUGUGUGUGUGUAAUGGCAUUCCCAGAGACAAUUAGCUCAUGAGAGCUCUGGCCUGACCAAUGAAGCAAUCCUUUGAUGGGUUCAUAAGAAGAUGAUGUUUUGGGGACAUAGUAAAGUAUAAGAGAUGGGGGCUAAUUGGAGGAAGUAAGUCACUAAUAUGUCCUUACACAGACACUAUCUCUGCUUUUUGGGCACAAUGAUGUGAACUGCUUUGCUCUGCUCUGUGCUCUCUACUACGAUUGACUAACAUCUCUGAAAUCACACGCCCAAAUCGACACUUUCUACAUUAGGGUGUUUCUGUUGGGUGAUUGGUGAUAACCUGUGGUAAAGCAGCUAAGAUAGGAUGAUCCUUUGGAGCAGAUUACAGGAAGGUAGCCAUGACCACACCACACAAACUAGUGAAAACGGACAGUACAUGACCAUCACUCAUGCUGCCCAAGUGGAGAGCCACAAAGCUAGAUCCAGACUGGUGGUCGUUCCCACAGGGCAUGGGCUGGGAUGACCAGAGCAUGGCACGUGGAGCUCCAGGGGCUCCUGGGCUCUGUCUGAGAGUGUUGUUUAACUGCUAUUCAGGCUCAGACCUGUGUCAACUCCGACGACGGAGACCACAGACCUCAGAUGUUUAUCUACACAGUACAAUAUGGUGCUGGCAGGAAGCGAGGUGGGUAGGCAGGCAUCACACUUUAGAGGUUGGUGAGUCAGAAGCACGGAUCGCCAUGUGAGGAGUCUCUGCGUCGCUGUUCACUACCAGCCAGUCUACCUGCCAAACCACUUUGUGUACAUGUCUGUAGGCUGGCCCCAGGUAGCCCUAGACACUGGUGACUUUUCUGUUGCUGCGACAGAACACCUGACAGAAAGAACUGAAGGGAGGAAGGUUCUAUUCGGAUGGCUUAGGGGUGGUGGGACCAGCACAUGGCGGGUGGCAGUGUGAGGCUGUUUUUACCGAGCCAGGCCAUGAACGUAAUCCACCGCAGUGCUGCCUUCCCCACAGAGACACACUUCCUCCACUAGAACUUCCCCAAACAUCCCUACCUGCUGGUGACCAAGCACACAAGCCUGUGGGUGAGGUGGGCUAGUUUGUGUGGUAACAACAUCUGAUCGUAACACAAACCUGAAAGUUCUUGCAGUUACAAGAACCACGCACGCACUUUCCUCCUGGCCACCAGGAACCUUGGGAUCAAAUGUUGAGCCCCGGGUGGUGUUUCCGCAUACUUAACCCAGCGCCCCAGCUCCUGAAGCUAGUUUUUUCUCCUUUGCAUCUGCAGUCUGGUCAUGAAGGAAGCUCCUGCUUCGGUUGAACGUUGGAGGAAGGGGGACGCCAGGUAACAAGAACAAACAACUAUUCAGUUAGGCCCAGGAAUCCUUGGUCGUUCUUCUUAACCAGCUUCCUCUCAAGGGUCAACACAGGUCACACAGGAGAGUUGUGUAUUGGUGGAUAUGUAUUUGAGUGUGUGUGUGUGUGUGUGUGUGUGUGUGGAUACGUGAUAAUGGGAACACACUCAAGUUUACACUGUAUUUGUACAAAGGCCUGAAUGGGUACAUUCGAUUGGUAUGAGUUAGGGGUGGGGGCACUCCUGCUCUGAAGGAAAAGCCAGAAUUUCUGAUAUGCACAUAGCCCCAGUACUGCCCUGAGGCCAAGGUGAUGAGGAACCCUCACAGGGUCUUUGGAAAGGGAGGACACUCAGGCUGUGCCUAUCAGGGGCACUCAGGGCAGGCUAGCGCUGGCCCCUGAGAGGCUAGCAUGCUAUCAGCAGUGGGUCAUGUGUCCAGUGGGCAUCGGUGGGAUUUUCUUUGUUGCUAUUUGUAUGUAUGUAUGUAUGUAUGUAUGUAUGUAUUUAUGUAUGUAUGCAUGCAUACAUGCAUUUCUGUCUUGAGAAAGGAUCUACUGUCUCCCCAGCUCCCAAGUUGGCCUUUAAAUUGUUGCCGAGGAUGGCUUUGAGCUUCUUAUGCUCAUAUUUCUACCUCCCGAGUGCUGGGAUCACAGGUUCCCCGUACUGAAGAGCCAAGGUUUGAUGCAUACUAGACUCCACCAGUUGAACUAAGGAGUCUGAUUAGCUUCCCUAGCCAUCAAUCCCCUCACCUCUCCAAUGAAGAUUCCAGAGUUCCCUGUAAGGGCUGUUAGCCCAAAUGAGUUAGGCUCUGUAAAGGCACUUCGUUCUGUUAUAUGCUGCGCCGACAAAAAUGGGCAACUGUUAACAAGGAACCAGUUGACCCAGGCUGUCCAGGCAAAGGAGCACAGCCAAGCCCGGGAGACUGCCCCACUGUCUGUCUGGUUAUGCAGUAUGGCCUCAGAGUCUGCCCAGGAUUAAUAGAAACAGGGAGCAAGUAAGUACCCUGGGGAGAGGGCUCCUCUCCCUGGCUCUGGUGGCACAUUAAAGACUCUGUUAGUCCUGCACUGGAGACAGGAACUGCCACACUCCCCACCCUCUGGGAACCUUUGCUGUCCUAUAUCAACAUCCCAAGGGUCUGGCAUUCCAGGGGCUUCAGCAAAGGCGGAGCUCCAGGAAGGUGGAGCUGAGAGAAUGCCCCUCCUCCACUGUGCCAAGGAGUCAUGGCCAAGGCAGCUUCUCUGUUCUUUGUUUUGUCUUAUGAGGUAUGAAACAAAUCAUUUCUGAUGGUAGCUGCUGCACCAGGGAUGAGAUAUCAAGAAACACUAACAACAGGCAUGUGCUCGGGGAGUCCCGUCAGUCUAGAAGCCCCAUGAUCCCCUCACACAGCUGUGCCUACUCUGCCUGUGUUUCGUGAUGCCUCCUCUGAAGGAGACUGUGGUAGUCUAUUGUGAUACGUGGCCCCGAACCUGGCAAUGCUAAUUUAUUCCUUUGCGCUGGCAAACAGCGCUGCCUGUGAAAAAUGGCAGCCACUUUAUUUUACACAUGCAAAGAAUAUUAACAAGCACGAUUUCCUCCCACCGUUUAUCUUCCUCGGAGUGCGGUGUUAAACAGUAUCAACAGGGGUUUCAGUGGUGGUGUGCUCCACGCAUCCCCAGUCUGCACAGAACUUCCACCAGCACACCGGAGCAAGACGACGUCCCUGUGGCACUUGUCGAAAUCUUCUCAGCCCUCUGCAUUUAUUACGAAAUAUAAAUCCGCAUCCGCACUCUGACAGGAUACAACAAUAAAGUCUACAGAGGAAACCGGCAUGGCAAUCUGCAUAAACCGACGCCCGCAUUUACUUCUUCUGGGGAGGAGAAUGAAAAGGCAAGAAUGUGUGUCUUCUUUUCGCCUUGGCCAGGCCUGAGCCCAGGGCUGGAGAGAAGCAUCCUUAAACGGCAGAGAGCAGCUGGGCACGAUGAGCCCUUGACAAUGAAUCUGCUGUUCUCUCCGAGCAGCCAACCAUCGGACCAAAGUCUCUGGGGGAAAGUUAUGCAAAUUCACAUGCAAAUGAGUCUGGUAAACUUAAAGAUUCUGCCCUGAAAGUGGCAGCUUUGGAGGGAGGGUCUCACAGCCUCUGGGAAACACAUAGGGCCAGGUCACUGCCAGCCAGUUCCAGCUGCUCAGUUAGUGCCCUGGAGGAGUGAUGCUGGCUUCCAAGGUCACAGGGCAAGCACCUGGCUUUUCAACUUCACAAUCUGUCCGGUGGUUACUUUCCUCCCUAUGAAGAAUGGCCAUUCAAUUUGUGAUUGUGUGAUUGUGUGUGUGUGUGUGUGUGUUUAAGGCAUGUACCUGUGUAUGAGUAUGUAUAUAAACCUAAGUUAUUGAUUCUGUUCCCCAGAAUACUAAGACAGAAAUACUUUGCUCCCCGAUUCCUGGGUGGUCAUGGUGCUCAUAUCAUGAGAAAUAUCACUGCUGUCAACCAAGUCCUUGCCCAACCACCCUCCCCUCCAGUAGGGGCUGAGCCUGCUGAGCCUGUGAAAAAUAGUGUUAGUGAUGUGGUCCCUUGGGUGUGUGGUCCAGACAAGCCGGGGAUUGAUGGCUGCUGGAGCGGGCAGGAGGGCCACCUGGAGAAAAGAGUGGGGCCAAGGGGAGAUGAGGAGGAUUCGAUCCAGCCACAGUGGAAAGAGGAAUGAGUGCAUGCGGAAGCAGUAUUCAGGUAUCCGGAAAAGACUGAGGUGUAGGGAUCCAGCGUUGUGUGUGCGGAUGCUGCAUCAAUGUGUGCAUGUCGGUGUGUACAUGUGCCUGAGUGAGUGUAUGUGUGUGAGAGAUUGUAUGUGUGCGUAUCUGCAUGUGAGUGUGUGUGUGUGUAUAUAUGUGUAUUGAAGCACAGCUUGUCAGGUAAGAGGCCAGGUACUGCUCUGUCAGGGAGAAGUCUCUGCGGCCACAGCAAGAGCACACAGUCAGAAAAAGGCAGGAAGGAAACAGAAAUAAAAUCCGAGGCUUCAGGCACCAUGUGAGGUGACUAAGAGCUUCUCCCAGAGUACAGAUGCAAGCUGCAUUCACUUCAAGGGCCCAGAGGAGAAUCCAUACCUGUCCACCCACCACAUCUACUCAGAUCUCAUGAAGAGUGAGGCCAGAUGGAAAUCUUGAAGCCCUCUAACAAAGCAGAUCCGAAGCCACUAGAAGCUGCCAAAGGCAAGGAGAAUGCCCGGACCCCCAUCCUCCAAAAGAACAGGGCUCUCCUGUAUUUGUUUCAUCCUCAGGCCUCCAGGAAGGUGAGGACAGAGUAACCUCCUAUUGUUUGAAGCUACACAAUUUGUGAUAAUUUGUUACUGCAGCCCCAGGAAUGAGUGUGGGAAGCCUUAGGGCAGAACAGACUGCCAUGGCUUGAGGAUCAGCUGCAGGCAAGAGAUCUCAGGAGAUCUGAGCUUGCAAGGAAGACCAGAGCUUCCUAGGAGCCCCGCCCAGAGUCUGAAACACUCCUCAUCUCACAAGUGUCCUCUGAGAGCACGUGGGCCUCUCCUCGAGGCAGCCCAUUAGAUCUGUGGAGUUCUAACUAGUAUCACGGUGUGAAUUACAGGAGGGGCCAUGGGCUCCCAGCACUAAGCUCUCAUCUCUUCUCAGUUUUGUAAGAUGCUAAGGCCUGAGCUGCCAGCUUUGCAGACGGGAAAGAGCCUGAGAGAGGUCGCACUAGGCAUUGAUUUCCCAACCUCAGCCAGAGGGUGGACUAGAGGACCACACUUCCUAUUAUCAGGGCUCCUUCACACAGAGGACCCUCCCAGGGCCUACGAGGAUUUCCUGGGUGUGUACAUAUGGGUGGGGGAGGGCAAAUCAAAAGCCAAUUCUUAUUACAAGAUAUGUCCAGAUUUUUUUUUCCUAGGUAGAAUUUGAAGGUAACCUCUUGUAAGCAUUUCUUCUAGGCUCUGCCCAACAGUUACCUAGCAACAGCCAGGUAUGAGCCUGGCUUGCUAUAAAAAGACUGCCCCCCACCCCCACCCUGGCCUCUCUCCCUCCCCUUUUCUGUCCUCUCCCCCUAUCUUUCUCUCUCCCCCAUACAUUCCUUGCUUUCUCUCUCCUCUCUUUGUCCUCUCUCUCAGUCUCCAACCCCUCUCCUCACCCCCUUCUCAUGCCCCUAAUAAACUUAUUUUAUACUACAACCGUUGUAUGACUGGUACCUUGGUGAGGAUGCCUCAACAUGGGCCGACUAAGGUACCCCUUUCCUCCACAUUAUGCUACCACAUUUCAAAACAUUACUUCUUAGUUGGGUUUUACAUGAAGGAAUCAAAAUAGAUACAAUUGCCUCUGGUUGAGACUUAGUUUUCCGCCAAUUGAAAACUGUACAAAUGAAUCAGUUUGUAUGGUAUGAUUAAGCAGGGCCGUGAGAGACUACAUAGUACAUGUGUUAGUGGAGAAUAGGGUGUGUGUGUGUGUGUGUAUGUGUGUGUGUGUGUGUGUGUGUAACUGCCAGGAGGAAGAAGAUGUGCUCCUCAGAGGUCCCCAGGGCUGUCAAAGUGGCAGCUCAGAGGGCCCACAAACAGAACCUUCUGAGAGGUUCAGGUGAGGACCCCUAGCCUACCAUCCUCAGGUCCUCAUGAUGGCCCUUUGGGGCCUCCUGCAUGCUCAGCUCCUCACCAAGGUGGAACUGGCUGUGACUGAGGGAAGGCCAGGUUUCAGGUAGGCUGCUUUCUUCUGCUGCCUCUUGGCAGACCAUGUACUACGGCGCAUGUCAGGAUGAGUGGACGAGAGGAGAGGUCUGGGUAUGGAGGCAUGAGGAGAAAAGAGGGAAGCUGACUGAAUGGUUCUAGGCUCUGCCAUGCUGUACCGCUGUUGGAACAGACAGGAUAUUGGUGGGAGGGUGACAGGCACGGCCACUGUGCAGUGGGACAGCCUGAGAGGAAAUAUAUUUCAUCUCCUAGGGUCCCUGGGGACUUUAUCUAUUUCCCAUACAUCUCUGCUGCUAUGCUCAGAAAAAGAAAAGAAACAGUCUGUCCUCCUUCAUCUCUAGAGGAUUUAAGAGGAGCAAUCAUGCGCCUGUGUGUGUGUGUGUCUUUGUGUAUGUGUCUGUGUAUAUGUGUAUAUCUUUGUGUGUAUGCCUUCGUGUAUGUCUGUCUCUGUGUGUAGGUGUGUGUGUGUGUCUUUUUUUUUUUUUUUUUUUUUUGGUUCUUUUUUUCGGAGCUGGGGACCGAACCCAGGGCCUUGCGAUUCCUAGGUAAGCGCUCUACCACUGAGCUAAAUCCCCAGCCCCGUGUGUGUGUCUUUGUGUGUAUCUCUCUGUGUGUAAGUGUGUGUGUCUUUGUGUGUGUGUGUGUGUGUGUGUGUGUGUGUGUGUGUGUGUGUAAGUGAGAGAAGUGGAGCCCAGCCUCUCAGCCUAAUUACUGCUCUACAGAGCUUAAGGAAAGGAUUUCCACUUGAGGUUGUGAGAAAAAAAAACAAGUCAAAUAAUUCUACCACGCAUGAGGAGAGCAGUGUCUGUUCUGUGAUCUCCCUUGACUCACCAUGACAGUGGACCUGGGAGGCGAUCAGUCUGAUGGCACUAGUCAACUGAGGCAAGCAGCCAUUACUGUGCCUGUAGGCACCUGUGACACCAUCUGUGGCCAGGCCUUCUGCAGUGAUGGCUCCAAGAAGAUCCAGGACUUGGCACAUCCCAAAACACAGACCUACACCCGAUAUUUGCACACUGGCGGUGCAGGCGCCGACAUCUGCCCAAGCUUCAGGCAGUGGAAGAAAUUUCAGAGCAGAGAGAGCAGAGCCGGGACAGUGACAGGAGCUGAGGCUCAGCCGUGUCAGCGCCACCACACAGACAGCAGCAAGAAAAGUCUGACUUGAGCGACAAGUGUCAGGCAAUGAGGGUGAUAGUGGGGAGAAAGGGAGGUAAAAUUUCAAAGGUAACCUGUCCACUGCUGCAAAGAGUCUCAAUGUGGUGCCAUUGAAAAACAGGAAGAAGAUCACUAAAUAUAUAUAAAAUCAAGCAGUAGCCAUGUGUGGUAUAGGCAGAAAGAUCCAGAGAUCAAGGUCAUUCUGAGCGACCCAGAAGAUUCAAGGCCAGCUGGAGCCACAUAAGUCUCUGUUUCCUAAGGGAAAGGGGAGUCAACUAAUAAAAACGUGAGUGUGUGCACACACAGAGCAAACACUCAUUCACACAUGUGUGCACACACAAAGCACAACGGAAGACAUUAGGAGGGAGUCUGUUAGGGAUGACACCUCUGCUCCACAGUCAGACCAAAGUGAUGCAAAGUCUUAGCUUGUGGGAGGACACAACAGUAUGACCAGCAUCCAUGUCCCAAAGCCAUAAGCAUCCUCUGAUGCACCCAGAGUCUCCUGUCCUUCCCCACAGGCAAUCCUUCUAGAGUCCAUGUGAUAUAGGAUUUCAGUCCACCCAUGGCACAGUGGAAUAGGAACUUGAGGGAAACGAAAAGAGGGGGUUUCCCUCAGAGGGCAUCUGAGACAAGGACGGCUGCACCAGGGCACUGGCAGACCGACAAACAAACGUAGAACCACGGUGAGCUGCUCCACACCCAGCGGUGGGGAGCGGCAUCUUGGAACAGCUGCCCGAGAGACUCUAUAAAUACUUGUCCUUGAGAAGGUGUUGACAAAGGGAUUCUCCGUUCAAACAGUCCCUGCAUCUCCUUUCAGCAGACUGAAGGCCUGGGCUGAGGGAAGAGCCCUGGGAAGCAGUGCUCAGUGAGAGCAGUCCCCCCUGUCUAAACAAGCCAGCUCUGCUUGAAACCACACACUCCCUUUUCCAAGUAAUAGCUACUGCCAUGUCUGGGAGCUAGUAUCCCACAGGACCCACAGCCUAGAGAAAUGAAUUAGAGAACUGUCUAUUUCCAAAGGUGGGGAUGGGGACAACAGUACUUUUUUAAAAAUAAGGAUCAUUGAAAUGCCUAAGUGUUAACAACUCUGGCAAAAUGCUUCAGUUGUGAGGAGAUUCACUUGGAUACCGCCCCCUCCACCACCACUGAUACCAAACAGAUAUGUCUCUGCCCCUCAUGAAUUUGGUUUGGGGUCAGUCACCUAUGGGUCUGUGGCUGAGCCCAGGCCACCAUUCCCAAACCAGGAUCCACAGAGGUCUUUAUGCCCAGUCUCCUGACCACCCAGGGCAGGGUCAACUAACCAUGCACGCCUCUCUGUGGCAGGGUGUACUUCAGCCCAGGGAAUGUGAACACGUAUAUGCACGGGCGUGUGAAAGUCGGUGCGUGGUCUGGGUUAUAUGUAUGUAAAGUCCAGUCAGUACGACCGCCACUCCUGAGGUGCAUGCUCUCCAACUGCUCUUGUGUUUCAUCUUGCCCUCUUCUGCUUGCCCCACAACAUAACUGUUGUGAUGGUUCCAACCUGUCUUUUCAAAAGAUCCCCUCUCUCGUUUUGUUAUUUCUCCCUAAAAAAAAAUUUUUUUUAAAGUUUCCUUUUCAAAAAUCUAGGAUUUUCUGAGCUCAUUUUCUGCCUAGGCCCAGUACUCAGGGAAGGCAUUCUUUCAAAGCAAUAAGAUGCCUCAGAAAUCUGGACUGGCCCCUCUCUGAGCUCAAGGAUCCCUGGAGGCGGCUGGCAGGGGUCUCCAGACAGGGUCCACAGGCAGGGGAGGAGGGAGGUGGAACGUGGGAAGUGGGGAUCUCACCUGGUAGGUGUUGUCGAAGCUGUCGUACAUGAACCUCGUGAUGAGAGACGUCUUCCCGACUGAAGGCAGAAAGGAGAGAGAGAGAGAAGUUCAGCUGUAAGAUGAGCCUACAGCCAGGGUCUUCUAAACGCACGCACCCGAAAGCCUGGCUCAUAAGAACCACAGCAAGGGGAGAAGCAGACCCCAGGUAAAAGACCCCAAGUCAAGGUGCUGAAGUGAGCUCCAGGGGGCACACUCGUCAGACACUAGGCUGCCAACGGAAGAGGCAUUCCUACCACCCAAGUCCAGGUCUGCCUUGACCCCAGGCACCAGGUGACGUGAGAUCCCAACGGAAUGCUCUUCUCAGGGCUGCCUGUGCUCCCCUGGACAUGCCAUCGGACAAUUAGCUCAAGGGAGGCUUUCUACGGUUCCCAUUUAUCAACUUAAACAUUGGUGAGAAAGGGGAGCGGUGGAGGCAGACUUUUCUCAGGUCUCUCAAGGUCAAGCCUAUUCCCCACAGAGUGUGCCUGGCUGCCCAGUUCAAUGCUGGGCCGUUAGCACCUCUAGAUCCCACUGUGCAAUUGACAAGAGGACCCCCCCCCCUGAAUACUGUAACAACUGCAGGCUUACCCACAGGUCCGUAAACUCCCUAAAUGGGGCAGAAAUGUCCCCAACUGAAAACUGCUAGUAUGGCUGAGAAGCCAAGAGUCUCUUGGGAGACCCAUAAAUGCUGUUAAUUUCCCAAACUGCAGGGGUUGGCUUCUGACACAACCCUGUGCAGGUCCCCUGGGACAGGACAGUGACAAGGAUGCCAACUGCUGUACUUGGAGCCAUCUGGAAGGGGAAGAAGGAUAAUAAUAAAGGGACAUUUGUCGGGUCACUAUGUGGAACUCUUCUCUCCUCUGUCCCACCAGGACUCAGCCUCGAACCAGAGAGGUCCAAAAGGAGCUGCAGGAGAUAAGUACCCCUGACAGGGAAGGCAAAGGUUCCUAACGCCCUGUCCACUGUCCAGCAGGCUAUCCCCAGGCUGGGACUAGUGGGAUGGCUCAUCACUGCCUGGGCAGGGCAGGUCAACCCAAUGGGAUCCAUGGACAGGCCCUUUGCUGGGUCUGAAUCUGCUGUGCCCAGCAUGUAACAGACAAGUGCAACCGCUCCUGACAGCCAACAUGGCCAAAGAGAGGCAGCCAAAAGACCCCAAGUCUGACCCGGCUGAGGUGAAACCCUACUGGGGCACUUAUUAGCCGUGUCACCUUGAGGUGGUCACCACUCUUCUGCACCUCAGUUCCUCUUUAUAACAUAACAAACAAAACAGAGAAUGUCAAUUAGUAAGAAGGUCAUAAGAUGAAUGGAGCACAGGAAACACUAAAGAGCAAGAGGUGGCAGGUCACUUAGGAUAGCCGAGGUAAUUUCCAGAAUGGCAUACGACGGGAGAAAAACAAAACCACUAACACCAAGGCUGUGUAGUGAAGAAACUGACUCCUCCUUGACUUGGGGUGGGGACCCAAUAUGCUUGGAUUGGAAUUGGGGGUGGGGGGCAGCAGGAGUAUCUUUGUUUUCCCUAAGCCCCCUCACUCUACCUGAGCCUGUACUAAUGAGGUGGUGAUUCCCUAGGUGGCCUCAGGGUGGGGCUGUCAGCCCUAAGACCAGAGGCCUGGGUCCCAGAGUCAGUCCAACCUCCAGGGAAGGAAGGCUGGAGCCUUAGCUCCAUCACAGGGACAACACUAAACAGCUCUGUCUGUUGACGAAAUCCCAGUGAGAAUUCCAGACAGCCAGGCCCUACAGAGAGCCUCCUGGGUGGUGAACACACAGAUAUGCCUUGAGGGUGGACAGGCUGUGAUUCUGUGAGGAGGAGGCACAGCCAUACUGCAUGGGAACCCACUGACUGGUGAGGCUGGCUAGCCCCCACCCCACUCCAGAGCUGUGAUUACAGAAGUGCAUCAUCACCACGCCCAGCUUCUAAUGUGGCUGCUGGGGAGCCAAACUCAGAUCUUUAUGAUCGAACGGCAAGCGACCAACUGAGCUAUCUCUCUGCUGCCCUUCAAUCCCACCACUGCAAUCUUUUUUUUUUCUUUUUUUUUUUUUUCCGGAACUGGGGACCGAACCCAGGGCCUUGCGCAAAUCCCCAACCCCCCACCACUGCAAUCUUAAGGAGGGAGCUUUCAGGGUUUCUGUUCUGAACCUAAGGGGCACCGGGACCCCC